rnacentral:rRNA from 1 species
CCUACGCGAGGCAGCAGUAGGGAAUCUUCCACAAUGGGCGAAAGCCUGAUGGAGCAACGCCGCGUGGGUGAAGAAGGUCUUCGGAUCGUAAAACCCUGUUGUUAGAGAAGAAAGUGCGUGAGAGUAACUGUUCACGUUUCUACGGUAUCUAACCGGAAAGCCACGGCUAACUACGUGCCAGCAGCAGCGGUGAGGCGUAGGUGGCAAGCGUUAUCCGGAUUUAUUGGGCGUAAAGGGAAUGCAGGCGGUCUUUUAAGUCUGAUGUGAAAGCCUUCGGCUCAACCGGAGUAGUGCAUUAGGAACUGGGAGACUUGAGUGCAGAAGAGGAGGGGGGAACUCGAUGUGUAGCGGUGAAAUG